rfam:Schistosoma mattheei strain Denwood, Zambia genome assembly, scaffold: SMTD_scaffold0030202
AGCUUUCUGAAUCCGCGCAGAUUUCGUCAGACACCAACCCAUUAUGGUUGAUCAGACUUCCGAGAUAAGUGAAGUU